rnacentral:rRNA from 1 species
UGCAGUCGAGCGGAUGAAGGGAGCUUGCUCCUGGAUUCAGCGGCGGACGGGUGAGUAAUGCCUAGGAAUCUGCCUGGUAGUGGGGGAUAACGUCCGGAAACGGGCGCUAAUACCGCAUACGUCCUGAGGGAGAAAGUGGGGGAUCUUCGGACCUCACGCUAUCAGAUGAGCCUAGGUCGGAUUAGCUAGUUGGUGGGGUAAAGGCCUACCAAGGCGACGAUCCGUAACUGGUCUGAGAGGAUGAUCAGUCACACUGGAACUGAGACACGGUCCAGACUCCUACGGGAGGCAGCAGUGGGGAAUAUUGGACAAUGGGCGAAAGCCUGAUCCAGCCAUGCCGCGUGUGUGAAGAAGGUCUUCGGAUUGUAAAGCACUUUAAGUUGGGAGGAAGGGCAGUAAGUUAAUACCUUGCUGUUUUGACGUUACCAACAGAAUAAGCACCGGCUAACUUCGUG